CACUGCUUGAGAAAAAUACCAAACACCCCGUCAAUAACACCACAAGAUGGCCGGUAGGACGAAUGGACUGGAAAAUUAUUUUCUCUUUGAAAAAGUGUGAGAGCGAGAAAACAAAGUGCAUUUUAAUAUAUUUUUCUAGACAAGACUAAUUUCUUCGGUGAAUCAUCAUCAUCCACAGAGCCGACGACCCAUUCUCGAUUUGAAGAAGAAGAAGAAGACUUUAACCUGACCCGGGAUGAUUUUGAUGAGCUGGACAGGCUCGAUAAUCAGACUCGAAAUCUGACCUCGACAGCCAGUGAAGUCCCAGGACCUUCAAACACAGGCCGUCAGAAUCUGACAAGAAAUAGGUCAAUUAUCACGGAUUCUCUACAAGAGUUAUCCUCUCUCCGUACCAGGGUUUUUCCUCCAAAUCGAGAAGACACUCCAGGGACUUCUGGUUCUGCAGUAAGAGCUCGCUUUUCCCGGGCUCUGAGCCGUUUCGACGACA